UACGGGGGGGGCAAGCGUUGUUCGGAAUUACUGGGCGUAAAGGGCUCGUAGGUGGCCAACUAAGUCAGACGUGAAAUCCCUCGGCUCAACCGAGGAACUGCGCUUCAUACUGCAUGGCUUGAGGGGAGACGAGGGUAAGCGGAACUGAUGGUGGAGCGGUGAAAUGCGUUGAUAUCAUCAGGAACACCGGUGGCGAAAGCGGCUUACUGGGUCUCUUCUGACGCUGAGGUACGAAAGCUAGGGUAGCGAACGGG
rnacentral:rRNA from 1 species